rnacentral:rRNA from 1 species
AUGCUGAAAUUUCUAGUACGACCCACAAGGCCACAAAGAUGGCCGGUUCAUCGUAGAAGCAAAAGGUGCACUGGCUCAUCACUUGAAUGUUAUCAUGCACUAGAGAUGGUUGAAGUUACAGACACAUGUUUGCUAAAUUACGGAGUGAAUAGUCCUUGUACAACUCGGAAAUCAUGCAGCAGGCAGUUAACUCAGGAACCAUGUGGAGUACGUUGCCACUUGCAAUUACCUGUAGAUAAAUAUAUUGGCAUGGUGCACACUAAAGCUUUCAGUGCUAAUUUUCAUCCAGUAUUGUUUUGUGCAAACUUUAGUGUUUAUAGCAAAUUAGCAUUUGUCCAAUUGUUUAUAGCAUGGGGAUCGGCAGUGACGGUACUGUCACCGGCGUCGGCAAGUACCUCAAGGAGAAGAAUCCCAAUGCGAAGAUCUAUGGAGUUGAACCUGCCGCCCAAGCAAAUAUUCUGA